rnacentral:rRNA from 1 species
AAUAGAUACCCAGGUAGUCCACCCCGUAAACGUUGGGAACUAGUUGUGGGGUCCUUUCCACGGAUUCCGUGACGCAGCUAACGCAUUAAGUUCCCCGCCUGGGGAGUACGGCCGCAAGGCUAAAACUCAAAGGAAUUGACGGGGACCCGCACAAGCGGCGGAGCAUGCGGAUUAAUUCGAUGCAACGCGAAGAACCUUACCAAGGCUUGACAUACACCAGAACACCCUAGAAAUAGGGGACUCUUUGGACACUGGUGAACAGGUGGUGCAUGGUUGUCGUCAGCUCGUGUCGUGAGAUGUUGGGUUAAGUCCCGCAACGAGCGCAACCCUCGUUCUAUGUCGCCAGCACGUAAUGGUGGGAACUCAUGGGAUACUGCCGGGGUCAACUCGGAGGAAGGUGGGGAUGACGUCAAAAUCAUCAUGCCCCUUAUGUCUUGGGCUUCACGCAUGCUACAAUGGCCGGUACAAAAGGGCUGCAAUACCGUGAGGUGGAGCGAAUCCCAAAAAGACCGGUCCCAGUUCGGAAUUGUAGGUCUGCAACUCGACCUCAGU